CUGGCUGCAGUUACAGUUAUUGAUUCUGCUUCAACAUUAUACAAGGGUGGAGCUGGGAGGUCAAUAGGUCUCCGAGAUCUUCUUUGAAACUCCAGCAUCAGAAGAAGGUGGCGGAAAUACAGUCUGAGGCUGAAAUUUUACCUCUCUUCGUUGUCGGGCGACCUCGGCUGAUUUGGAAGGUGCACACGAAGCGAAGAGUGCAAAGGAAGAAGGGAAAUAAGUUGAAAUCGGAGGAUCCGGUCGAGUAACCUCCAGGGUAAGAAAGCGACCGUGCAUGCUUCCGUUGCUGAGUUAACCUAUAAAUGAGUGCGUGAACAACAUCAAAGUAGUACUUGAUGGUAAUCUGAUCACAAAUAGGGGACUUCCUAUAGUCUUCAAAGUUGCAUUGGCUAUUGUGAGCAAAACUACCAUGAGAGAGAAAGAAGGGUUGCAAAAAGCAUUGUUUAUGAGUACCCUAUUCUAACAUCACAAUUUGGGGAUCAAAUACAAAGUUUAUGAGUACCCAUAUCUAACUCCCCCAAAUCUAAUACAUUCUUGAUUAGAUUUUGUAUCUAUUGUGGUGUUCAAUCAGUAUUCAUAUUUGUUGAGUUAGUCAGAGAGGUUAUGAUAUUUCAGAUGAAGAACGAUACAACGCACUUCCGCACGCACGCGAGCGCGUGUGGGAAGGCUAGUGCUUGUUAUUCAAAUUCCCCUGUUAUUACUCUUUUAAUAGCUAUUUAACCAGUCUCUCUAAGUGUACUUCUGGCCUAUUCUGCUUUCCAAAACUGGGUAGCUUGGUGAAAUUGGGAAUAUUGGUUACGUGUUGGGUACUUGGGUUACAUUGCUUGUAAUCAGAUGUGGUAUUUUUCAUUAAUCUUCCCAGUACAUGAAAACAAUUGGAAAAACAUUUAUAUUUUUUCGAUGUGGAUUUGAAACAACAUUAUUAAGAAUCCAUUUGUCAAUAAAUACUGUUUGUAUUUCUAUUC